rnacentral:piRNA from 1 species
UGCUAUGGCCUCCCAAGUUAAUGUGUAU